rnacentral:misc_RNA from 1 species
UACGUAGGGUGCAAGCGUUAAUCGGAAUUACUGGGCGUAAAGCGUGCGCAGGCGGUUUUGUAAGCCAGAUGUGAAAUCCCCGGGCUUAACCUGGGAACUGCAUUUGGGACUGCAAGGCUAGAGUACGGCAGAGGGGGGUGGAAUUCCACGUGUAGCAGUGAAAUGCGUAGAUAUGUGGAGGAACACCGAUGGCGAAGGCAGCCCCCUGGGCUAGUACUGACGCUCAGGCACGAAAGCGUGGGGAGCAAACAGG